rnacentral:rRNA from 1 species
UUGAACGCUGGCGGCAGGCCUAACACAUGCAAGUCGAGCGGAUGAAGGGAGCUUGCUCCUGGAUUCAGCGGCGGACGGGUGAGUAAUGCCUAGGAAUCUGCCUGGUAGUGGGGGAUAACGUCCGGAAACGGGCGCUAAUACCGCAUACGUCCUGAGGGAGAAAGUGGGGGAUCUUCGGACCUCACGCUAUCAGAUGAGCCUAGGUCGGAUUAGCUAGUUGGUGGGGUAAAGGCCUACCAAGGCGACGAUCCGUAACUGGUCUGAGAGGAUGAUCAGUCACACUGGAACUGAGACACGGUCCAGACUCCUACGGGAGGCAGCAGUGGGGAAUAUUGGACAAAGGGCGAAAGCCUGAUCCAGCCAUGCCGCGUGUGUGAAGAAGGUCUUCGGAUUGUAAAGCACGUUAAGUUGGGAGGAAGGGCAGUAAGUUAAUACCUUGCUGUUUUGACGUUACCAACAGAAUAAGCACCGGCUAACUUCGUG